rnacentral:rRNA from 1 species
CGAAAGCCUGACGGAGCAAUACCGCGUGAGGGAGGAAGGCUCUUGGGUCGUAAACCUCUUUUCUCAGGGAAGAACACAAUGACGGUACCUGAGGAAUAAGCAUCGGCUAACUCCGUGCCAGCAGCCGCGGUAAUACGGAGGAUGCAAGCGUUAUCCGGAAUGAUUGGGCGUAAAGCGUCCGCAGGUGGCGAAGUAAGUCUGCUGUUAAAGCGUCUAGCUCAACUAGAUAAGAGCAAUGGAAACUACUUACGCUAGAGUGCGUUCGGGGCAGAGGGAAUUCCUGGUGUAGCGGUGAAAUGCGUAGAGAUCAGGAAGGACACCAGUGGCGAAGGCGCUCUGCUAGGCCGCAACUGACACUGAGGGACGAAAG